CCAGACUCCUACGGGAGGCAGCAGUGGGGAAUAUUGCACAAUGGGGGAAACCCUGAUGCAGCGACGCCGCGUGAGCGAUGAAGUAUUUCGGUAUGUAAAGCUCUAUCAGCAGGGAAGAAAAUGACGGUACCUGACUAAGAAGCCCCGGCUAACUACGUGCCAGCAGCCGCGGUAAUACGUAGGGGGCAAGCGUUAUCCGGAUUUACUGGGUGUAAAGGGAGCGUAGACGGCAGAGCAAGUCUGAAGUGAAAGGCCGCGGCGCAACUGCGGGACUGCUUUGGAAACUGUGCGGCUGGAGUGCAGGAGGGGUAAGCGGAAUUCCUAGUGUAGCGGUGAAAUGCGUAGAUAUUAGGAGGAACACCGGUGGCGAAGGCGGCUUACUGGACUGUAACUGACGUUGAGGCUCGAAAGCGUGGGGAGCAAACAGGAUUAGAUACCCCAGUAGA
rnacentral:rRNA from 1 species